rnacentral:rRNA from 1 species
GUUGAUAUGGCUCAGAACGAACGCUGGUAGCGUGGAUUAGGCAUGCAAGUCGAACGGGAUCCGGAAGGUAGCAAUAUCGGCCGGUGAGAGUGGCGGAAGGGCGAGGAACGCGUGGACAACCUGUCCAUGGGACGGGGAAAACUCCGGGAAACUGGAGCUAAUACCCGAUACGUCGCGGAGCGGCAUCGCUCAGCGGCAAAGGGGGCGCCGCAAGGGCUCCCGCCCAACGAGGGGUCCGCGUAUCAUCAGCUUGUUGGCGGGUAACGGCCCACCAAGGCUUACGAUUAGCUGGUCUGAGAGGAUGGCCAGCCGCACUGGGACUGAGAUACUGCCCAGACUCCUACGGGAGGCUGCAGUCGAGGAUCAUUCGCAAUGGGGGAAACCCUGACGAUGCGACGCUGCGUGGAAGGAUGAAGGCCUUCGGGUUGUAAACUCCUGUCAUGAGGGAAAAGGCGAGAGUAUCCAAUACGUACUUUAGUUGAUGGUACCUCAAGAGGAAGCGACGGCUAACUCUGUGCCAGCCGCCGC